rnacentral:lncRNA from 1 species
GACAUUUUGUAUUAGACAUGCAAACUGCAGCAGAAUUGUAAAAUAGAUAAUCUCCAAACGAUGUAACAUACAGCGGAAAGGUAAAAAUGGCAUGGCUUAGUGCGAUCAAACAUUUUACAUAUUGUUAUUGUCAUUACAUUCAUGAAAUAUUAAAAUAGGCGCACUAUGUUUAUUGAUUAUUUGUCUCAUCAACAUAUUCUAACUUUUGAUUAAAUGUAAUUAGUUAUCAUCUAUUUCAUCAUAAAAACUUGGAAUUUCUCCACGGGCUUAACUCCC